rfam:Edwardsiella ictaluri 93-146, complete genome.
UACCUAUUUUUCACAGGUGGAGUUCUACCGUCUGUGCAAAAAAUAACGCCGCUGCUGGAUAUCCUCUGCGGUAGUCAUGGGGUCGGACCGGUAUGUCAUGAGCUGAAUAUCGCCCCA